rnacentral:rRNA from 1 species
UACGUAGGGUGCAAGCGUUGUCCGGAAUUAUUGGGCGUAAAGAGCUCGUAGGCGGCUUGUUGCGUCGACCGUGAAAACCCGGGGCUCAACUUCGGGCUUGCGGUCGAUACGGGCGGGCUAGAGUUCGGUAGGGGAGACUGGAAUUCCAGGUGUAGCGGUGAAAUGCGUAGAUAUCUGGAGGAACACCGGUGGCGAAGGCGGCGUCCUGGACCAACACUGACACUGAUGAGCGAAAGCCAGGGGAGCAAACGGG